rnacentral:rRNA from 1 species
AAUAGAUACCCCGGUAGUCCACGCCGUAAACGAUGAGUGCUAAGUGUUAGAGGGUUUCCGCCCUUUAGUGCUGCAGCUAACGCAUUAAGCACUCCGCCUGGGGAGUACGGUCGCNAAGACUGAAACUCAAAGGAAUUGACGGGGGGCCCGCACAAGCGGUGGAGCAUGUGGUUUAAUUCGAAGCAACGCGAAGAACCUUACCAGGUCUUGACAUCCCACUGACCGGUAUAGAGAUAUACCUUUCCCUUCGGGGACAGUGGUGACAGGUGGUGCAUGGUUGUCGUCAGCUCGUGUCGUGAGAUGUUGGGUUAAGUCCCGCAACGAGCGCAACCCUUGAUCUUAGUUGCCAGCAUUUAGUUGGGCACUCUAAGGUGACUGCCGGUGACAAACCGGAGGAAGGUGGGGAUGACGUCAAAUCAUCAUGCCCCUUAUGACCUGGGCUACACACGUGCUACAAUGGAUGGUACAAAGGGCUGCAAGACUGCGAAGUCAAGCCAAUCCCAUAAAACCAUUCUCAGUUCGGAUUGCAGGC